GUUUAUAGUACUUUGUUACAGUAGCCCUUGCAAACUAGUGUAGAGUUUAUUUUCUAAAUAUGUUUGAAACGAAUUGCCUUGCAAACGAGCAUUGACAUCUUAGAAACGUGGGCUUCUAAAGGGUGGGAGCCUCUAAGUGCCUAUAAUGUUCGCUGGCAGAUGUUGAAGAUGGAUUAAUAAAUUCAUUUUCACAGACUUUAUUAAGUGUGGAGAAAAAGCAAGAUAUUUAUCAGUAGUUUAGUCAUCUUGUGGAAACCACACUGACCUUUGAGUCCAAAGACCUAGUUAGGCUCAGGUUCUCAUUCUGCCACAGACUGAGGGGCUUCAAACAAGUUCCUUCACUGGUGGGAUUCUUAGGUCCUCAUUCAGUUUUUCCACUUUCUCACUUCAAGACUCCAUGUUUAGAAAGUAUAUGUCUCUAAGAGUUCCAAAAUGUCAGUCAUCUCCACAGCUGGAGAGAGGGAGAGUCAGGGCAGGGCUCAUGGGACCUGUGAAGAGGUUUGACUGGCUGUCUAGACAGACAUCCUCAAUGUUUAAACUUGAGUGAACAUCUGUUUAUCAUCCAAGAUGCUCAUGAUGCUACGCCAGCCUGCAGGUGGUCCCCUGGGGCCUGGCCACCAAAGAUGUUGUGUGAUCAUGGCAACUCAGGGGCUACAAGAUAGUGGAAUUAAUGAAUGGUAAAAAAAAAAAUGUAUAGGCUAGUAUCUAGAAUCUAGAUCCUAGAUGACAUUGGGAAUUUGAUUAGGGUACUAGGUCUGGUCUACCAUGAAUAAUACUCAGUUUUCCUUUUAAUUGGCAGGAUUCCAGGACCAAAACCCCUCACCACCAACUGUUUAGUCUGGCUAUAAGAAAAUGGAUACAUUUUAUUCUGAAAAAAGGCUCCAGCUCUUCCCCCUGCUUAGUUUGGGCUUAAGGACAGAUGCCCUGAAUGUUGCAAACUCCACUUCUCUCACCUUCCAUUUCAUUCCACUGGAACACUCUACCACAUCACCCUGAGGUUCUGGACCAGGAGUCAUGCCCUUGUGACCUUGAGACUGCACUCAGGCAGCGUGCAGUGCAGCAGGGAGUCUUCUCCAGCCCCAUCAACUGGAUGAAAGCUUUCCUACAUGGCCCACAUUGUCCUCUGCUUCCCCUCCUGGUUUGCCUCUUUCUCAUCAGAGUUCUGCAGCUCCCAGAGUCUGUUCCAUACCCUCAGUCCAUAUCGGUGGAGAGCCUGCAUGGCCAUGACCUGGAAGGGAGUGGAAGGCAGCGAGCUCUGAUCCAAGGCACUCCCCAUCUUCCCUGGAUGGGCCUCUCACUUGUACACUGAGGCAUUCACAGGCAGGGAAACCCCUGCAGACUAAGAAGGAGGCUGGGCUCAAGAACUAGUGGGUCCAGAUUUUGGCAGAGGCAGGGAAGCUUCCAGGAAAGGGGCUCCUCGUUAACAGCUGUGUGGGAGAGGGAAUGUGUGUGGUAUGCUUAUAUUCCAUUUGUCUAAAUAUUGUUUGCAUGAGGUCAGAGACCUUAGGCUUUGUUCUGACUUUCUAUGAAUGCAUAAAAAACCACCCCCAAAUUUAAGUCACUUCAAGCAAUUUAUUAGUAUCUCUAAUAGUUCUUGAGCUGGCUGGGCUCAUGUGGGUGGUUCUUGCUUGGAC
rnacentral:lncRNA from 1 species